UGCUUAAGGUUAUGCAGCUGGUAAGAGGUGCAGCUGGAUUCAAAACCAGGUAAUCUGACUCAACUUUCUCUUAACAGCACUACACCAGCCUUCUAUGCAUUCAGUAGAAUUGAAAAUAUCAGGUUACAUCAAGGCUUACAAUGUUGUCCCAGUGGGAAGAAGCAUCUGCCCAAGGAAGGAGAGGAAGAUAUAGAGUCAACAGGACCAGCAAGAGACAAAAAUUAUCAUAAGACCCUAAACUCUGGGUUAGGAGUUUUAUUUUUUAUUUUUAGUUUUUGGCUGUGUGUGUGGCAUGCGGAAGUUCCUGGGCCAGGGAUCAAACCCACCCCACAGCAGUGGCAAUGCUUGAUCCUUAACUGCUUGGCCACCAGGGAACUCCCUGGGUUAGGAGUUUAAUAGUUCACUAAAUCUAACUGAGCCCAGACAGGGAAAUGACUUACACUGUCAGAGACAGGAACAAGAACUCCCAGUUCUCUCAAGUCCCAAACCAGGGCUCGGAACAGUAUUCAGAGGCAAUAAGAUACUUCAGGAUUCUUUGAGAAGGGACAAAACAGGCAGAAAGAUAAGUAUGAAGAGGAUGUCUGCUCCUGCUGGUAAGCAUAGGAACCACUGGAAUGUCAAGUUGUGAAAGGAAGUGCCUAUAGAAUUGAACAGCUGACAGUUGAGAGGAACAAUAGAGGAAACGAAAGACAUUGAAGCCAAUAUUAAGGAAACUGGGAAGGGAGACAAGAACAGGAAGUUAAUGUUCAAUUCUUUCUGUUUUUUAUUAAAGAAAGUAGAGUUGAUUUACAAUAUUGUGCCAAUUUCUGCUGUACAGCAAACAAAGUGACUCAGCCAUACACAUAUAAUUUUGAAGUAUUAACAUACUUACUUUUAAUUGGAUCCCCAAGUGGAGAUGCCCUAUAGCCAUUAGGAAGUUGGGAAAUGGAAAGGGAGAAAAGAUCUGGAAGAUGCAGAACUGAAAGUCCACAAGACACAAGAAUUGUCAUCAGGCGGUCCAGUUAAUCUACACACACACACACACACACACACACACACACACACACACACAGAGCACAGCACACUGAUCUUCAACUUUUUGUAGGAAGACAUCUUUUAAGGAUGGGAAGAUACCACCUUUGCUCUAAGUAAGGUUCCCACUCACACUCACAAAAGCAAAUCUGGUCUGGAAAAUUCUUCAUAACCCUCCCACUAGAAUAGCAUGACAAAGUAGAAGGCAGAGCUUUGGAGACAAGUGGUGCGUUUUCUUUUUCCAUUUUCAACAUUCUCAUCACCAUUUUUCAAGGUCAUCCUUUUGGGUUAAUGAGUGUUGCAGAUAUUUAUUUAAGCAAUGUUCUGGACGGGCAUUCACAGAACCUUUACCUCUAAAUCUACUGCCACUAAAUUAGAUCUUGUUCAAAUAAAGAAGGUUAAUUGCAGUAUACAUUUGCUCCUCUGUUUUAAUUACUACAAAGCUUGUGAAGACAAACAACUGUGUGUGGCAUUUUUUGCAAAAGAUAUACCUGAAUUAUAAAAAGCUUAGAUCAGGCCUGCAUCCGUGUAUACACGCCUUCCUCUCCCAACUAUUCCCAUGUUAGUUUGGUGACAAAAGUUGGCCUUUGCAGAAGAGGAAAGUGGAUUGGUCACCAAAGAAGGAGUUCUGUUUUUACUAUGGGGAGAAUGUAGUCUUAAUUAGGUAAACAAAGAGGUUUUUCAUUACAUUGUAAACACAUUUCACAAAAAGACUCAUUUAAGUUUCUUUUUAAAGAAACUGGAAAAUAUUAAG
rnacentral:lncRNA from 1 species